CCUACGGGAGGCAGCAGUGAGGAAUAUUGGUCAAUGGGCGCGAGCCUGAACCAGCCAAGUAGCGUGAAGGAUGACUGCCCUACGGGUGGUAAACUUCUUUUAUAAAGGAAUAAAGUGAGGCACGUGUGCCUUUUUGUAUGUCCUUUAUGAUUCAGGAUCGGCUAACUCCGUGCCGGCAGCCGGGGUAAUACGGAGGAUCCGAGCGUUAUCCGGAUCUAUUGGGUUUAAAGGGUGCGUAGAUGGGUUGUUAAGUCAGUUGUGAAAGUUUUCGGCUAAACCGUAAAAUUGCAAUUGAUAAUGGCAGUCUUGAGGAGAGUUGAGGUAGGCGGAAUUCGUGGUGUAGCGGUGAAACGCUU
rnacentral:rRNA from 1 species